AUAUUUGGACAGAAAGCAAGACGGAAGUAGCCAUCUUAAAUAUCCAAUACUGAUAAAUUUUAUUUUGAUAGUUGAAUUGGUUAGAAUGGACGUGUAAUUUUAUAGUCUUUUUAAAAAGAUUUGUUGUGAAGUGAUUUUGUUAUUUAUUUAUUCCACAUAAAUAUCCUUAGGAUCAAUUAGUGUUUAAGUGUUGAAACAAUAAUAAUUACAUUAUAAACAUAAUGGUUAGCUGUGUUGAUUGUAGUUGCUCCAACACUCCUAAAAAUAAAUCUUUAGGAAUUACUUUUCACAGUUUUCCUAAAGAUAGUGAGAAAAAUAAAUUGUGGAAAAAUUUUGUUAACAAACCAAAUUGGACGCCUACAAGAACUAGUGUUUUAUGUUCUCAACAUUUCACCAAUGAAUGCUUCGAUCGAACUUCAAUGCUAAAAGUUAGAUUGCAUCCAAAUGCUCUUCCUACAAUUAAAGUUGACCGUUUGAAAUAUGUAAGGACAUUUAAUCCACUUCAACUUACAUCUAUUGAGUCAUCUGAAUACCAAGAUGAGCCUCUACCAGGGCCAUCAAUAAAGACAGAAACAGAUCUUGUUAUAAAUCCAUGUACAGAUGAUACUCCACAUCAAAUACAUUUAGAAAGGAAAAUCAUGGAUUUGGUAAAGAGAGAUGCUUUGAGAACCAUACAAAUUCGAAAACUUCAUAAAAUUAUUUGGAGACAGAAGAAAGUUAUAAAUUCCCUUAAGACAAUCGUAUGUUUGCUAAAAAAUAAGAAACUCACUGAUGGCUGAUUAUUUCGAUCCAAUAAAGGAAAUUAUUGAUGGAUUUUUCAGAAAAACAGUCAAACAGAGCUCAUAAUUAUGCUCGAGCAACAGUUCAAAAUUCUUUACAUCACAUGAAACCAUUAUCAAAAAGGUAUUCUAUAUACCUAGCUGGAAAGUCCUGAAGAUAAUCGAGAGAAAAAUACUGAGAACUAUAUUUGUACUAAAUAUUACAGGAGAUAGAAGAGAGAAUAUUGAAGAAAUAGAAGAACUGGGAGGAGAAAAUAUAAUAAGGUAUAUAAAAGCAUAGCGACUAAAUUAGGCAUGAGAAGGAAACUUACAAAAAUAGUGAUGAGGAUAACACAGUGACCAAGAAAUACCUGGAGAAACCAAAUUGAAGAAUCCUAGACUGGAAAGCAAAAUGCAUUUGACAGUAUUCAGAAUAUGUAUCAUUAUAGAUAUGUGGAUGAAGGAAAUAAAUUUCAGGGACCUUGCAAAGAUGUAUUGAGCCAUAGAACUUACAAGUUCACCAAAGGCGGCUUUAGUUAAACAGGUUUGCUGAAUUUAAACGUGGUCGCACAAACACCGAUGAUGGUGAACGUUCUGGUCGUCCAAUUGACUUGGUUACUAUAGAAAACAUCAAAAACGUCCACAAAUUGGUUAUAUCUACUCGUAAAUUAAAAUUGCGUGAGAUAGCUGAGGCCGUGAAGAUAUCACAAGACAGUGUUUAUUCAUGAACAUUUGAUCAUGAGAAAGCUUUUUUCAAAGUGCCGCGUUUACUAACUGUCGAUCAAAAACAACAACUUGCUGAUGAUUCAGAGCAGUGUUUGGCCAUGUUUACACGUAAUAAAUCAGAUUGUUUGCAUCGAUAUGUGACAAUGGAUGAAACAUGGAUCCAUCACUCCACUCCGGAAUCAAAACGAUCAUCAUCUGAGUGGACUGCAGCCGGUGACCACGUUCAAAGCGUUCAAAGGAAUAACAGUCAGCUGGGAAGGUUAUGGCUUCAGUAUUUUGGGAUGUGCAAGGGAUAUUGUUCAUCGACUAUCUUCAGAAUGGAGAUACAAUCAAUAUAGAAUACUACAUAGAGUUGUUGGUUCGUUUGAAUGCACAAAUCAAAGAAAAACGGCCUCAUAUGUCGAAGAAAGAACCAUAGCUUAACCAAGACGAUGCGCCGAUUCACAAGUCGACGGCAACGAUGGUUAAAUUGAACGAAUUCCACUUCGAAUUGCUUCCUCAUCCACAGUAUAGCCCAAAUAUGGCCGUUAGGGACUACUGGCUAUUCGUUGAUCUCAAUAAAAAUGCUCGCUGGUAAAAAAUUCAGCUCAAAUUAAGAAGCAAAUGCUGAAACUGAUGCUUAUUUUGAGGCAAAAGACAAAUUCUUCUACAGGUAUUGAGAAGUUAGUUAGUUAGUCACUAGACUUAUUGAGUUAUGUUAUAUGUAUGCUUCAUCUGCAAUUUUCAGGAAAAAAACACAUUAUUUUAAUCAUUCAUGUCAACAUGAUAAUCAUCAUUUUUAAUUUUUUUUUAUUCGAAGGGAAAGAUAUGCGCAUCCGCACCUUCAGUGGCCAUACGAGAUCGACCGGUGGGGCAGUACCACACUUGUACGACCUCUUUAAACUAAACCUCUUCAACGUAGAAUUCCACAAAAUUGACUGUUCUUUGUCGUCGUUUUAUGAUUUCUUCAGCUUCAGAAUCAUAAGAAUGAGAAUAAAACGUGAAAGUAUGAAAAUUAAGAUAACGGGAAAACAGAACAUCUAUUCAAAAAUUGCCUGAGACUUUGGUUGGUCAGUGGUAUUUUGAUGUAAUUGUAUCAAGAAAGGUUAUUAUUCUCUCUCUCUCUCUAAUUCUGAAAAUAAUUGCGAUUUUUUCCAGUAUUUUGUGACAGUUUAGGUCUGAAAGAUGUAUUAUUAUUUUUAAACAAACGUUGUCUGAAUUUGGAAGAACCACUUCACGUCAUUGUAUUAUAUUAUGUGAAAGUUAAAAUAAUGUAAGAGUAUGAUACAUAUGUUUCAAACACGCCUUUGUUUUUUUAUAACGUGAGUUCAAUCGACUGAAAUGGUUGUAAAAACUAUACGGUCCAGCAUCACGGCAAGCACUUUUCAUGCUAAGACAUUUUUCUCAAACUAUAGAAACCGCUUUAGUUGAGUCAUUAACCUUUGCAUAUUCUGGCACAAGACUAAAAAUCCCAAGUUCUGUUGUCCCCAUUUGAUUUUCAUGUCUCAUUUCAUUUGUGGAAAGGCAAAAUUUUAAAUUUUUUUGGAUGUAGCGUGGAUAUUUCAAUCACAUUUUUUCAUUGUAUUUUUGUCAUCCUACCUAGAAUUGAUUCACUUCCACCCUAGUUGUGGGAAUGGAAAAUUUUAAAUAUUUUUGGAUUAGCUCGAACGUUUUGUACGCAUCUUUUCAUUCCGCCCAAUACAGUGUAUUCAAAAAUUAACGUAACGGCUUACUAAUUCGGUUCCUAUAGAAUAAAAAGUUAAAAAACCUGAAUUUGAAAUAAAAAUGUUUUUUUGACGUUUCUUUGGUCCGUAAUAUUUCUAAUAUCAUCUCCGUACAUAUUUUAUUUCACUUUUGUCGACGUAGAAAUAAAACAAUACAUUUCGCCUGUUAUUGUUACAACAAAUGAGAAAGUUGAAGCAGAGAAAUAUUUUUUUAAAUAAACAAAAACGCAUUUACGUGCGCAGUUUGGUAAAAAAUGAAAUUUUCAGAAGUUUAGGUCAUGUCUCUGAUGUAAUCCGUCAAAAUUCUAUAUAAAUCUGACACAUAGAUUAAUUUUAAUAUGUGUAUAAAGAAAACUGUUUUCGUUGUUGUCAGUCCGGUUAAAUUAGACCAAAAAAUAAGAGUGGAGCUACAUCAAUUCCCAUCAAGCUGAACAUCAGUAAAAUAGUUUAAUAUACCAUUAAAAAUAAAAUUUGAACGUUCCCGAUCAUUUCCGUGCAUGGAGUUUUUCGAAAUUUUUAGCAAAACGGCGAGUUUUAUCAUAAAAAUAUUUUAGAGAAAAAUUGUGGAUCAUAAAAUUAUCUACAAAAAACGUAUUAAUACUUUUUUCUUAUGAGCCACCGUUUCUGAAAUAUAACGAUUCAAAAAGUUGUAAAAUUAUUUAAAGGUUUCAUACAUAAAGUUUUAACAGUGAAUUUUUUGCAGCACCUUUUUGUUUACGAGUGAUAUAAAAUCUUAAGUAACAAAAAAUUUUAAAGUGAGUUUUCUCACAUUAUUCACUUUUCGAGUUGUGCCAGUUUUCUUCCAAGGUAGCGAUAUGUUUGAAAGAAUAUAUUAAAGUACACAUACUAUCAACUCGAUGGUUGCUCGAUAAAAAAGUCAAAAAGCUUUAUCGAUUCGCUUUUGAGUUAAAAGUUGGACAACUAUCGUUCAAGCGCUCAAUUUGUACUGCAUUGCAUUGAAGUGCGCGUACAAACACUAAAGUUGGGUUUUAAAGUUUUUGGGUUCUCUCGAAAUAAAGGGACCUGCCCUUAUAGAUUAUAUCGAAAUGAUUUCAUUGAAACUUUUUUAAUUUAUUCUGCAUACGCUGAUUAAUUUUUCAGGGUAAAUCUUACAUGUAUCAUGUGGAAUGUCCCAUUUAGUAAUUUGUUAUUGAAAAUAGGAAACAGAGGAUCUUUGUCUCCUUGUCCUCUUUUCAUCCUUCGAAUAAAGGGAAUUACUGGCCAGAGCUCUUCGAUUAAUCAUUCUGUACUGUUAAUAAGGAAUGAGGACUGAUCGAUAUCCCAUCGACUAUUAAUUGUCUGUAUGCGUAUUCUACACAACUAAAUAGUUGAGACGAGCUGAAAUCGUGAACGCCCAUCGAUUUCGAUGGAAGUUGUGUAUUAUGCACCUAGCCUUAAGGCCCUCAUACAUUACGGGUAAACACGACAAUCUUAACCGAACAGUUAAAAUUGCAUGUGCAAAAUUGCUGCUUUUAAACACACAUACACUGUCGGAAAAAAACAUCUGCAGUUGUGCGUUGGUUUUUGCUUUAAAAAAUCUUUAUUCCACAUUCUUGUAUUGGCCAUUUUGCAGAACGAUUAUGUUUUUUCACGACGGAUUUGAAUGAAUACCACAUACACUAGCAGAUUUGCACGAACAGGUUAGCCUGCACGGGUAAAAUCUCAGGUCAUGUCGGAGAUGAAGAAAGUCGGUUAACAUCGUCUUGAUUGGCCCAUUCACUAGUAAUUUUGUACGCGCAAUUUUAACUGUUCGGAUAAGAUUGUCGUGUUUACCCGUAGUGUAUGGGGGCCUUUAGGCAAAUCGAUACGUCCAGUCUGGUCAACAAUUUGCUUGAUGUAAUUUCACGUUAACCUUGAAUCAAUCGAUCCAAUACUAGACGUGUUGUGACAAAAAGGUAGGUCAUGAAUUAAAACAAACAUAUAAAUGACGAAAAUAGUAACUCACUUACAUUCCUCUUAUUUUGUCAUUGUUAUUACACUAGUUUACAAAAUUAAACUUUUUGUCGAGAAUUUUCAGGUUGAGAGAAAGAUCAAGCUUUAUUGUCAUAAGAAAAUUUUACACACAAUUUGGCUUUAUAAUGUAAUAAACUUCUAAUAAAAUCUACCAUCA